AACUUUCAACAACGGAUCUCUUGGCUCUCGCAUCGAUGAAGAACGCAGCGAAAUGCGAGAAGUAAUGUGAAUUGCAGAAUUCAGUGAAUCAUCGAAUCUUUGAACGCACCUUGCGCCCUUUGGCUAUUCUGAAGGGCAUGCCUGUUUGAGUAUCAUGAACACCUCAACUCUCAUGGUCCGCCAUGAUGAGCUUGGACUUUGGGGGUCUUGCCGGCCUAGUGUCGGCUCCUCUCAAAUGGAUCAGCUUGCCAGUGUUUGGUGGCGUCACAGGUGUGAUAACUAUCUACGCUUGUGGUUUUCUGCCAUAUAACCUUCAGUGAUGGAGGUUCUCUGGAGCUCACAGAUGUCUCUCCUUGGGGAGGACAGCUUUUGAACGUUUGAUCUCAAAUCAGGUAGGACUACCCGCUGAACUUAAGCAUAUCAAUAAGCGGAGGCU
rnacentral:misc_RNA from 1 species